CUUCUGGUUUUUGUGGUUGUUGUAGCCAUUGUUUUCUCUUUCCCUGUCCUGUUUCUUGACCCUUUUUAAUGCUGCUCUUCCCACUGUGCCUUCUGUAGUUCCACAGAUCUUUACUUAAGCUCCAUGGUCCUUCCUUACUUCUCUUUCAUUUUCUUACCCUCUCUUUUCCCCCUGUUACCCUCUUGCUGUUUGUCUCAUGUUUCCUAAAUCAGCUCCAUUUUCUCCCAGCCUUAAGCCUCCCUGCUUCUCUUUGUUUUCACAGUGGAAAACAGGAUGAGUCUCAUGGACUUGGUCAGUUGUACGUGAGCUGUAGGAAAGGUGUAUAUGAGCAAGAAGUUGGUGUAUUCACAAGGAAUGUCACUGCAGUGUCUGGGAGACACUGACACCACAGAAUCGCCAAUAUCAACAGGCACAGUUCAGACAAGCCAAGAGGCUUUUUAGACCUCAAAGUUCUCCGGUUCUUCCUUUAAAAAAGCCUGCUCCCUCACUGUGAUGAUAAAUACUUUCAGGUAAGAAUUGUCACCAGCUUUCUUUCUCUCAUUUCUAUUUCUGUGCCAAAUUCUCUUAUGACAGUACUGAAAAAGAUGGGCCCUGACUGAUCUUUUAGAAAUCCCUUUGCUAGUCUUCCUCUAACCAGAAGUUCCCCUUUCAACACUACCCAUUGUCUCUUUGUUGAAUUAACAAUUUCCCAGUGACACUUCUCAAAUGAUUUACCAACCUUCCAUUUGUCCUGAAAGACAGUUAUCAUGAAAGAUAUCUGGAUAUCUGGCAUGGUAAACACAUAUUGCACUUUUUGUGAUAUUUUUUUCAUUUUUUCCACAUCUCUAACUCAUAUUUCUUCAAAAUGCUAUUUAGAUACUAUUACUGAUUUAACAAAAAACACAAGAAGUGUUGGCAUUUGGUUCUGGACAAAGGUGGAUUAUCUGGAAAUUGGAAUCUCUUUUUAAGUCUCUAAGCUGGGAGGCAGUACAAAACAGUGAGGCAAUCUUUUUCCUGCAUUGGCUUUCCCACAUGUACUCUAAUUGGGAGACUUUAUUUUAUGAUCUAUGUAAAUGUCACCUUUAUAAAAACACUUCUUUCAAAAAGAAGAACAGUACUCUUUUCAGGUGUAAUAAUUAAACACUACUAAAAAGAUCUCAGAAUAUGAUACCUUAUUCGUUUUCUGCUCUGACUCAGUGUGUCUCAGUGAUGCUUAUUUUAGGUACUUAACAUUAAGAAUUUAUGGGAUGUUCUUUUCAAGAACCCUGAUGGCAGUGAAUAAACAAAAUAUUUGUCUAGAUACUGGUGCUCACAUUAGCACUCAUAAUGUAUUCUACUGCAUUACCCAAUGGGGCCAUGAAUUACAGGAAACAAACUUCCAGUUUCUGGAUGGCUCCUUUACAAAAUAGGUGUAAAAUCCAUUCCUAGCAGAGCUUUGCACAUAACUAAACAAUGAUCUGCUAAUUGAUCUUCAGGGAUCACUUUAGUGCCCACUGAAAUUAAUGGAAAGGUUCCCAUCUAUUUUGCCAAGAGCUGGGUCAUGCCACUAGUGCGAAAGGAGAUUAGAUCAGGAAUAUUCAUUGGAAUGAAUAGGGACUAAAACUAACAUUUAAAAAAUUCUAUAAAGAUGAUCAUGCAAAAAGACUCUGUAAUUCAUCUAGCUUUAGAGGCACUGCGUUUGAUCAAAGUGUGUGGUAACAGCUGUCUAGGAAGACAUUGAUUUAACUAAAGAAACACCUUAUUAUGAAGUUUCUAAUUUUCCUGUUUAGCAAUUGCAAAGUGGAUGUUUUGAGAAUCAAACAAGCAAAAAAUGCAUAUAUCAACUAUUAUCCACUGGCUGAAUGUUGUGUGGAAGCAAGGGUGAUGAUUCUUUCCUCACCAUCACACCAGGACCUCUAGCUGCUACGGGUCAAAUUAAGAAGCCAAAUCUCUACGGCAAGAGUCUGCAACAUGUUUACUUCUGGGUUUUGUCUCAAAGAGGAAUUUGUACCACUCAUUCACCAGAAAGUUAAAUGACCUAAUGAGAAUUCUGUAGAGCUGUCCAGUUUGCAUAAGCCCACUGAAAUUUCAAAUAAACAUGAUGUAUGUGGAAAGCAGCAGGAAGUAGUAUAUCUUUUAGAAGCCAGCUGUCUGUUUACUGCCUGGCUUGUAAUGAAGCUGUUUGUUUUUAACUUGUAUGUUACUUGUGUUCUCAGCUACUCAGUUA